UACGUAGGGUGCGAGCGUUGUCCGGAAUUAUUGGGCGUAAAGGGCUCGUAGGCGGUUUGUCGCGUCGGGAGUGAAAACCCAGGGCUUAACCCUGGGCUGGCUUUCGAUACGGGCAGACUAGAGGUAUGCAGGGGAGAACGGAAUUCCUGGUGUAGCGGUGAAAUGCGCAGAUAUCAGGAAGAACACCCGUGGCGAAGGCGGUUCUCUGGGACGGUACUGACGCUGAGACGCGAAAGCGUGGGGAGCGAACAGG
rnacentral:rRNA from 1 species